rnacentral:rRNA from 1 species
GAUGAACGCUGGCGGCGUGCUUAACACAUGCAAGUCGAACGGAAAGGCCUGCUUUCCCUUGUGGAUUGCGGGUACUCGAGUGGCGAACGGGUGAGUAACACGCGAGUGAUCUGCCCCCAACUUGGGUAUAAGCCCGGGAAACUGGGUCUAAUUCCCGAUAGGACUGCAGGGUUGUGCCUGUGGUGGAAAACGAUCUUUCAGUUGUUGGGGAUGCGCUCGUGUCUUAUCAGCUUGUUGGUGGGGUAAAGGCCUACGAAGGCGGAGACGGGUAGCCGGCCUGGGAGGGUGGACAGUGACAUUGAGACUGGGUCACGACCCAGACUGCUACGGGCGGUAGCAGUGCGGAAUAUUGGACCAUAAGCGGAACCGUGAUGCAGCGAGGGAGCGUGGGAGAUGACCGGAUUCGAGUUGUAAACUACUUUCGACCACGAGGUGUGCACCUAGUUGGGAGGGUCGUGACGGUAGUGAUAGAGAAAGCACCGGCUAACUACGUG